GCAAAAACAACGCAGCACGUAAAAGCAAAGCCAAAGCAGCAGCAAAAUAAAACAGGGCAAAAAUCUAAAAGCACUAAAAACAGGGUGUUUUGAGGGUUUUCAAUGGAUGGGAGAUAAAAAGGUCUUCGCUUGGUGCUAAAUGACCAUAAUGGAAGGACCAGUGACAACGAUGCUUCCUCCAGAGCCAGCCCUUCUCUCCAGUUCCAUCCUUGAGCUGCUUCCCAGCACACAACCAGAAAACAUUUAAGACAGACAGUGAGGCUGAAAUCCACAAACCACUUAUUCCAGAAGAGCAGUCACGUUGGUCUGUUUCAGCAAAAUCACAGAGGAAACACAAAACAACCAAAGAACCUUAUGGCAUCUUAAACACAAAAUGGGGAACAACUUGUAAUGCAUGUCACCGAUCUGCUGCUGAAAACAUCUCUGUGGUGGGUUAUCCUUUACACCUAGAGUGGCCAGGUGUCCUACUUUAUAGAGGACAAUCCUCCAUUUGAACGGCUGUUAACCGACAGCCCAACACGUGUCCAUUUAUUUUCAGGCCUUUACAUCUCUAACUGCAGCCAGUGUAUUGCAAUUUUGGAGCUGUGGAACACUCUCACGAGGAAGGUUUCUUGGAUCUCUGUCUCUGCUGGCCUUCCAUUAAGAUGAGUUUAUUUCAAGCUAUUGGCCAUUUAUACCACAGAAUUUUAACUGCGCCUGCCUUUUUCUCUUGUAUUUCUGCGGUAUUACCUUAAGAUUGUUUUUAUUAUUGUUAGGUAUUUUUAUAGUUUAGAAGCCGUUCUAAUUAUCUUCAGUGGAAUAUAAAUGCCCAUAAAUAAUAGAUUGCUCCAAGCAAUUGGUGCAGGGAGCGUUUGAAGAUACAGGUCUGCUUCCCUCACAUGUGGCUUGAGCCUCAAAGGCUACAGACUUAAUAAUAAAGUGAUACUGAGCAUUGACACACUUAUACCUCAAGCAUUAAAGUUGCCUCGUGAUCUCUAGAGGAAGGGAGCUGAACAACAAAGUCAAAAGCAAAUAAUGAAAUAGCCAGAAAAAUACGAGGUCUUGCCCAUCUUUUUUGUCCCUGAGCAACAGAUGGCAAUUCCCUGUUCGUUUCACAACCUGGUAUUAUUUGGCACCCAUUUAAAUUGUUUGAAGGGAAAAAUCUUCAGAACUUUUUAUUAAUAAUGUAAUAUCUUUUAAACGCCUCCUAAAAACAUAUAGUUUAA